ensembl:ncRNA C54G7.17 ncRNA
CUACUCGUCCUAACCCGGGAGGCUCGACCCUUUGCGCAUGCUCCCUAAAACUUCAAGUUCCCGCUAAUUGUUCCCCUGAGCAUCAGAUUCAAUUGUGCUCCUCAUGCUUAUUCACAACAUUCUUUUUUCUUUAUUUUUGUUGCUUCUACUUUGCGCGUUCUGAUUUCAUAGUUCAUAACGCGCUUAUUUUUCAAUUUGUUUUUUGAAG